UUGCACGCUGGCGGCAGGCUUCACACAUGCAAGUCGCGCGGGGAAAGGUAGCUUGCUACCUGACCUAGCGGCGGACGGGUGAGUAAUGCUUAGGAAUCUGCCUAUUAGUGGGGGACAACAUCUCGAAAGGGAUGCUAAUACCGCAUACGUCCUACGGGAGAAAGCAGGGGACCUUCGGGCCUUGCGCUAAUAGAUGAGCCUAAGUCGGAUUAGCUAGUUGGUGGGGUAAAGGCCUACCAAGGCGACGAUCUGUAGCGGGUCUGAGAGGAUGAUCCGCCACACUGGGACUGAGACACGGCCCAGACUCCUACGGGAGGCAGCAGUGGGGAAUAUUGGACAAUGGGGGGAACCCUGAUCCAGCCAUGCCGCGUGUGUGAAGAAGGCCUUUUGGUUGUAAAGCACUUUAAGCGAGGAGGAGGCUACCGAGAUUAAUACUCUUGGAUAGUGGACGUUACUCGCAGAAUAAGCACCGGCUAACUCUGUG
rnacentral:rRNA from 1 species